rnacentral:rRNA from 1 species
GUAACGCGUGGAUAACCUGCCUGUUAGACCGGGAUAACUCCGGGAAACCGGAGCUAAUACCGGAUACGAAUUACCGAUCGCAUGAUUGGUAAUUGAAAGGAUUUCCGCUAACAGAUGGGUCCGCGUCCCAUUAGCUAGUUGGUGGGGUAACGGCCCACCAAGGCGACGAUGGGUAGCCGGCCUGAGAGGGUGACCGGCCACACUGGGACUGAGACACGGCCCAGACUCCUACGGGAGGCAGCAGUGGGGAAUAUUCCGCAAUGGGGGAAACCCUGACGGAGCAAUGCCGCGUGAGGGACGAAUGCCUUCGGGUUGUAAACCUCUGUUCUAUGGGAAGAGAAUGACGGUACCAUAGGAGUAAGCCCCGGCUAACUACGUGCCAGCAGCCGCGGUAAUACGUAGGGGGCGAGCGUUGUCCGGAAUUACUGGGCGUAAAGGGCGUGUAGGCUGCUUAAUAAGUUAGAGGUGAAAUUCCGUGGCUUAACCACGGGACUGCCUCUAAAACUGUUAGGCUUGAGUGCAGGAGAGGGAAGCGGAAUUCCUGGUGUAGCGGUGAAAUGCGUAGAUAUCAGGAGGAACACUAGUGGCGAAGGCGGCUUCCUGGCCUGUAACUGACGCUGAGGCGCGAAAGCGUGGGUAGCGAACAGGAUUAGAUACCCUGGUAGUCCACGCCGUAAACGAUGAGUGCUA